rnacentral:lncRNA from 1 species
UCCCACUGAGCACUUUGUUUAAUGUCGCAAGUUCGACAGUAGUGUCGCGUUGUACUAGGUUUGGGGUUGAGCGGGCAACUCUAUGAGUCUGAGACUGUUCAAAUAGUCUCUGUUUUCUAUGUUAUGAUAAUGCUUUAGUCGCUGCCCGUUUACUACAAAAGGGUCACUAUUUCUACCUUUUAUUUCUAUCGCACAACUAUUGAGAACUUUGGUGAUCUCGAAAGGGCCAGACCACCGAGAUUUGAGUUUUCCUGGAAAGAGUUUAAGUCUUGAAAUGAAUAGCAG